rnacentral:rRNA from 1 species
UACGUAGGGUGCGAGCGUUAAUCGGAAUUACUGGGCGUAAAGCGUGCGCAGGCGGUGGCUCAAGCCAGGCGUGAAAUCCCCGGGCUUAACCUGGGAAUGGCGUUUGGGACUGCAAGGCUGGAGUGCGGCAGAGGAGACUGGAAUUCCCGGUGUAGCAGUGAAAUGCGUAGAUAUCGGGAGGAAUACCGAUGGCGAAGGCAGGUCUCUGGGCUGACACUGACGCUCAUGCACGAAAGCGUGGGGAGCAAACAGG